rnacentral:rRNA from 1 species
UACGAAGGGUGCAAGCGUUAGUCGGAAUUACUGGGCGUAAAGCGUGCGUAGGUGGUUUCUUAAGUCCGUUGUGAAAGCCCUGGGCUCAACCUGGGAACUGCAGUGGAUACUGAGAGGCUAGAGUGUGUCAGAGGAUGGUGGAAUUCCCGGUGUAGCGGUGAAAUGCGUAGAGAUCGGGAGGAACAUCAGUGGCGAAGGCGGCCAUCUGGGACAACACUGACGCUGAGGCACGAAAGCGUGGGGAGCAAACAGGG